rnacentral:lncRNA from 1 species
AUGUAUUGCUAUUGUUUAUUUGUUUUUCGUUAAAAUUGUCAAAUCAAUAAUUUUCUUAACACUUGGAAGUAUAUGUAUGAAAAGUUUCCAAUAUUAACUGAUAUUGCUCAAAAAUUUCUGUCUGUUUCGGAUCGACAUACUUGUCAGAAUCGCUUUUCCAAAUAUGAACGUCAUAAAAAAUCAAGAAACCAAAUUAUAAAUGAUCAUUCGGAUGAUUGUCUGCCAUAGGCCACUUCUUCAUAUCAACCUGACCAUGAAAACAUUGCCAGCUCCAAACAAUGCCAUAUUACACAUUAAAUUUAUUUUUAAUCAACCAGCAUUUUCUGUAACUUAUGCGUUUGUAAUCAAUCUCCUAAGUUUAUUUCUAACUUUGGUUUUCCAAAAUAGAAAAAAUAUUUUAUUCCAAUAUAUUU